UACGGGGGGGGCAAGCGUUGUUCGGAAUUACUGGGCGUAAAGGGCUCGUAGGUGGCCAACUAAGUCAGACGUGAAAUCCCUCGGCUUAACCGGGGAACUGCAUCUGAUACUGGAUGGCUUGAGUUUGGGAGAGGGAUGCGGAAUUCCAGGUGUAGCGGUGAAAUGCGUAGAUAUCUGGAGGAACACCGGUGGCGAAGGCGGCAUCCUGGACCAACACUGACACUGAUGAGCGAAAGCGUGGGUAGCAAACAGG
rnacentral:rRNA from 1 species